rnacentral:rRNA from 1 species
GACGAACCGUGCGAACGUUGUUCGGAAUCACUGGGCUUAAAGGGCGCGUAGGCGGGCCAGCAAGUCAGGGGUGAAAUCCCACGGCUCAACCGUGGAAGUGCCUUUGAUACUGUUGGUCUCGAGGGAGGUAGGGGCGUGCGGAACUUCCGGUGGAGCGGUGAAAUGCGUAGAUAUCGGAAGGAACAUCGGUGGCGAAAGCGGCGCGCUGGACCUCUUCUGACGCUGAGGCGCGAAAGCCAGGGGAGCAAACGGG